rnacentral:rRNA from 1 species
GAAUUCGCCCUUAGAGUUUGAUCCUGGCUCAGGACGAACGCUGGCGGCGCGCCUAACACAUGCAAGUCGAACGAGCGAGAGAGAGCUUGCUUUCUCGAGCGAGUGGCGAACGGGUGAGUAACGCGUGAGGAACCUGCCUCAAAGAGGGGGACAACAGUUGGAAACGACUGCUAAUACCGCAUAAGCCCACAGCUCGGCAUCGAGCAGAGGGAAAAGGAGCAAUCCGCUUUGAGAUGGCCUCGCGUCCGAUUAGCUAGUUGGUGAGGUAAUGGCCCACCAAGGCAACGAUCGGUAGCCGGACUGAGAGGUUGAACGGCCACAUUGGGACUGAGACACGGCCCAGACUCCUACGGGAGGCAGCAGUGGGGAAUAUUGCACAAUGGGGGAAACCCUGAUGCAGCGACGCCGCGUGGAGGAAGAAGGUCUUCGGAUUGUAAACUCCUGUUGUUGAGGAAGAUAAUGACGGUACUCAACAAGGAAGUGACGGCUAACUACGUGCCAGCAGCCGCGGUAAAACGUAGGUCACAAGCGUUGUCCGGAAUUACUGGGUGUAAAGGGAGCGCAGGCGGGAAGACAAGUUGGAAGUGAAAUCUAUGGGCUCAACCCAUAAACUGCUUUCAAAACUGUUUUUCUUGAGUAGUGCAGAGGUAGGCGGAAUUCCCGGUGUAGCGGUGGAAUGCGUAGAUAUCGGGAGGAACACCAGUGGCGAAGGCGGCCUACUGGGCACCAACUGACGCUGAGGCUCGAAAGUGUGGGUAGCAAACAGGAUUAGAUACCCUGGUAGUCCACACCGUAAACGA